CUUGACGACCAUAGAGCAUUGGAACCACCUGAUCCCAUCCCGAACUCAGCAGUGAAACGAUGCAUCGCCGAUGGUAGUGGGGUUUCCCCAUGUGAAGUAGGUCAAUCGUCAG
rnacentral:rRNA from 1 species